rnacentral:rRNA from 1 species
UGGGGAAUAUUGGACAAUGGGCGCAAGCCUGAUCCAGCCAUGCCGCGUGAGUGAUGAAGGCCCUAGGGUUGUAAAGCUCUUUCAACGGUGAAGAUAAUGACGGUAGCCGGAGAAGAAGCCCCGGCUAACUCCGUGCCAGCAGCCGCGGUAAUACGGAGGGGGCUAGCGUUGUUCGGAAUUACUGGGCGUAAAGCGCGCGUAGGCGGACUGAUCAGUCAGGGGUGAAAUCCCGGGGGCUCAACCCCGGAACUGCCUUUGAUACUGUCAGUCUUGAGUCCGGAAGAGGCGAGUGGAAUACCGAGUGUAGAGGUGAAAUUCGUAGAUAUUUUGGAGGAACACCAGUGGCGAAGGCGGCUCACUGGCUCGAUACUGACGCUGAGGUGCGAAAGUGUGGGGAGCAAACAGGAUUAGAUACCCUGGUAGUCCACACCGUAAACGAUGAAUGCCAGUCGUCGGGUAGCAUGCUAUUCGGUGACACACCUAACGGAUUAAGCAUUCCGCCUGGGAGUACGGUCGCAAGAUUAAAAGCUCAAAU